rnacentral:rRNA from 1 species
UACGAAGGGGGCUAGCGUUGUUCGGAGUUACUGGGCGUAAAGGGCGCGUAGGCGGCCCUCCAAGUCGGGUGUGAAAGCCCACGGCUCAACCGUGGAAUUGCACUCGAGACUGAAGGGCUCGAGGACGGGAGAGGAUGGUGGAAUUCCCAGUGUAGAGGUGAAAUUCGUAGAUAUUGGGAGGAACACCAAUGGCGAAGGCAGCUUCUUGGCUCAUUCCUGACGUUGAGGCACGAAAGCGUGGGGAGCGAACAGG